rnacentral:rRNA from 1 species
AUUGAACGCUGGCGGCAUGCCUAACACAUGCAAGUCGAGCGGACGAAGGGAGCUUUCUCCUGGAUUCAGCGGCGGACGGGUGAGUAAUGCCUAGGAAUCUGCCUGGUCGUGGGGGAUAACGUCCGGAAACGGGCGCUAAUACCGCAUACGUCCUUAGGGAGAAAGUGGGGGAUCUUCGGACCUCACGCUAUCAGAUGAGCCUAGGUCGGAUUAGCUAGUUGGUUGGGUAAAGGCCUACCAAGGCGACGAUCCGUAACUGGUCUGAGAGGAUGAUCAGUCACACUGGAACUGAGACACGGUCCAGACUCCUACGGGAGGCAGCAGUGGGGAAUAUUGGACAAUGGGCGAAAGCCUGAUCGAGCCAUGCCGCGUGUGUGAAGAAGGUCUUCGGAUUGUAAAGCACUUUAAGUUGGGAGGAAGGGAAGUAAGUUAAUACAUUGCUGUUUUGACGGUACCAACAGAAUAAGCACCGGCUAACUUCGUG